UCACUUUUUCAAUGUGCUCCCCAACUAGAAGGCGACAACGGAUUCAUAUGUCAAUCCAUAUCAACUUUCGAUGCCAUUGACUGCACCUACCAUCGUGACCACGGGUAACGGGGAAUCAGGGUUCGAUUCCGUACAGUGACCCUGACAAACGGCUACCACAUGCAAGGAAG